AACGCACGAGACCUGCGGACCUGCGGAAGGAUCAUUACCGAGUUUACAACUCCCAAACCCAAUGUGAACGUUACCAAACUGUUGCCCCGGCGGGAUCUCUGCCCCGGGUGCGUCGCAGCCCCGGACCAAGGCGCCCGCCGGAGGACCAACCAAAACUCUUUUGUAUACCCCCUCGCGGGUUUUUAUAUCUGAGCCAUCUCGGCGCCUCUCGUAGGCGUUUCGAAAAUGAAUCAAAACUUU
rnacentral:misc_RNA from 1 species